GAUGAACGCUGGCGGCGUGCUAAUACAUGCAAGUCGAACGCGCCGAGAAGGGAACUUGUUCCUUUCAACGCGAGUGGUGAACGGGUGAGUAACACGUGGGAAACCUACCCUUCAGCGGGGGAUAACCAUCGGAAACGAUGACUAAUACCGCAUAGUUGUUCUAGUCGCAUGACUGGAAUGGGAAAGACGGCUUCGGCUGUCACUGAAGGAUGGUCCCGCGGUGCAUUAGCUAGACGGUGGGGUAACGGCCUACCGUGGCUUUGAUGCAUAGCCGACCUGAGAGGGUGAUCGGCCACAUUGGGACUGAGACACGGCCCAAACUCCUACGGGAGGCAGCAGUAGGGAAUCCUCCGCAAUGGACGCAAGUCUGACGGAGCAACGCCGCGUGUGUGAAGAAGGUCUUCGGAUCGUAAAGCACUGUUAUCAGAGAAGAAUAGCCUGUAGAGUAACUGUUAUAGGUUUGACGGUAACUGAUCAGAAAGCCACGGCUAACUACGUGCCAGCAGCCGCGGUAAUACGUAGGUGGCAAGCGUUAUCCGGAUUUAUUGGGCGUAAAGGGAGCGCAGGCGGUUGAUUAAGUCUGAUGUGAAAGCCCACGGCUCAACCGUGGAGUUGCAUUGGAAACUGGUCAACUUGAGUACAGAAGAGGAAAGCGGAAUUCCAUGUGUAGCGGUGAAAUGCGUAGAUAUAUGGAGGAACACCAGUGGCGAAGGCGGCUUUCUGGUCUGAAACUGACGCUGAGGCUCGAAAGCGUGGGGAGCAAACAGG
rnacentral:rRNA from 1 species